rnacentral:rRNA from 1 species
CCUACGGUGAGCAGCAGUGAGGAAUAUUGGUCAAUGGCCGGAAGGCUGAACCAGCCAUGCCGCGUGAAGGUCAGUGCCCUAUGGGCGUUAAACUUCUUUUGUGCGGGAGCAAUAAUGGUCACGUGUGGCCAGACGAGAGUACCGUACGAAUAAGCAUCGGCUAACUACGUGCCAGCAGCCGCGGUAAUACGGGGGAUGCAAGCGUUAUCCGGAUUUAUUGGGUUUAAAGGGUGGGUAGGCUGUGAGGUAAGUCAGCGGUGAAAUGCCCCCGCUCAACGGGUUGAAGUGCCAUUGAUACUGCCUUGCCGGAAUGCGGAUGCCGUGGGAGGAAUGUUUGGUGUAGCGGUGAAAUGCAUAGAUAGCACACAGAACACCGAUUGCGAAGGCAUCUCACGAAUCCGCGAUUGACGCUGAUGCACGAAAGCGUGGGUAUCAAACAGGAUUAGAUACCCCGGUAGUC